ACCGCGAUAGAUUGACUGGUAGGGCAUCUGCCCGAUAUGCUGAGGGCCGCCGGUUCGACUCCGGCUCGCGGCG
rnacentral:tRNA from 1 species